rnacentral:rRNA from 1 species
CACGUAGGCACCAAGCGUUGUCCGGAUUUAUUGGGCGUAAAGAGCUCGUAGGCGGUUUGUUGCGUCUAUCGUGAAAACCUGCAGCUUAACUGUGGGCUUGCGGUGGAUACGGGCAGACGUUGAGUUCGGUAGGGGAGACUGGAAUUUACGGUGUAGCGGUGAAAUGCGUAGAUAUCGUAAGGAAGACCAGUGGGCGAAGGCGGGUCUCUGGGACAGUUCCGUGAACGCUGGAGGCACGAAG